UGCGUUUGCUUUCACAAACUCCAAUUGAUUCUCUCCACCUUGGUUUAGUUAUUAGUAAACUUAUUUGUUUACUUUAACAAGCUUUUAUUCUCAUGCAUUUAAAAGUAGAUAACAUGGCAAGUGCUACAAUUGCAUGUGUCCUUUAUUCUUCAUCCAACAUUCAUUACUUUUCCUUUUUUCUAUAUAUAUCAAUAUCAAUGUCUAUAGCAAUAGCAUCAACCAUUCAAGAACAUGAAGAUGCAAUCACUUUUGUUCAUCUUCUUCUUAGCCAUUGCUUUGGUGGGGUGCAUUUCCACUGAAACAGUUUCAAUUGUCAACAUCGUCUACGUUGCUAAACUGCUUCACCAGAUGUAGAUAUGAAACCAAUUUCCAAAAACGAGAAACAUCAGACGAGCGCGGAAGCUGUCGUUCAUGAUCGCAGAGGAGCUAACGGAGGCUCGGAUCUUACGAAAAAGCCUUCGCAAACCAAGAGUAUUGGAGCCGCUGAUUUACCUGUUAUCAGUUUCUGUGUUUCUAUGUUUUUGACUAGCUUCUUCAUGCUUCAAAUUUGACUCUCAUCUUCUUCUGUUUUUUACUCAACUUGUAAUGACUGAUUCACUCUUUACUGUGGAAUUGAUGAAAUUGAUGAAAUCCCACAUUAAAAAUUUCAACCUUUA